CACUUUGUGGAUGAGGAAAUAAGGCUUCAGAAAACCUAAAUGAUUUACUCAGAGGAUCCAAGGAAGAGAUAGAUAAUAGAUGUGAGCUCAGGUCAACACAUUUAUUUAUAUUAGUUUUGGAUCACUGGGCUCCUUUGUUCAUCAAUGUGUGAUUAUCAUAAACAGCUUCCACUCAUUGUUUAGACACUACAGACUGGUUUUUGUUACACGUCAAAGUAGGAAGUAGGAAAGCAAAGAAAGUCCUUGUACUGGGAGAGCUGGGGAACUAGGUCUCCAGUGUUCAUUUCUUCCUCACUUUGCACUAGCAACUUAAUGUUCUACAAAGUCUACAAAACAGGUAAUCAGGCUGAACCAGCAUAAGAAGAUACCGAGUUUAACUCUGUUUAUUAGAUUAAGAGUGCUAGUGGCUCAUAUAGUAACACAAACAUGACAGAGAGGUUCAACCAACUCCAGGAUCCUAGCGCUGUUUUUCUUUUUUUCUUUUUUUUCUUCUCUGAGUCAUGCUACUCCUCCCUGAAUACUUAUUUACUUAAGCGCCUCUGUAUCAGACUUCAGCAGCAGCAGUGUGUUUCCCAUACUGGACUGAUUAUUGGCUUGCUUUUCUCCGUAACAGUUUUCAACUUUUAAAAUGGCCUUUAGAUUUAGAGUUAAAGGGAGAAAACCUAUUGCAAGCCUUGCCUCAGGUACCGAGUGAUGAGUGAUGUGACCUAAGUCAGCAGCUGAUCGAACAGUGGGGAAUCUGAAAAUGCUAUAGUGCUUUCUGACAAAGGGAGUGACACUCAGACAAUCCGGGUACAUCAGGGGCUCACAGAGCAGCAGGGCUGACUCUUGGGGAGAGGACACCUCUGGUUUCCCAGUCACCCCACUUUGCUAAGAUGCCUAUGCUUUCACUGAGUGGUGACGGCUGCUUGGGUAUCCAGCCAGCUUCUUGUUUUCUCCGUCCCGGCCGUAUUCUCCCUUCCGAGUCUUGACCUGCCGGGAGACAGAUCUACUAGGAUGACAUCUGGCACCAAGAGGGACACUGCUGGUUCUGGGUGCAAGGCGGCAAGCCAGUGUCUACAGCCCCAAGGCCGGCAGGGUCAAGUUCCUCUGGGACUCUAGGGGAAGGCCACAGCUGAGGUGCUGCCACGCUAGGCCUUGUGGGCAGGCCCCGACCAAUCACCGUGGGGUAUACACGAACUCCAGCCAAUCAGCGCCUGCCUUGUUCCCGAGUCCCGCCCGCUCUAGCCCAGGUCCCCGAACCCCGUCCCGGCGCCGGCAUUCGCGGCUGUCGCUGCAGCCGCCUCCGGAGCCGACUCGGGCAGCCCGGUUCCUGGCGUCCUUCGUUGUCCCCUGUCGCCUUCACUGAAGAUGAGUCCCUGCGCGGCCGCGCGCUUUCCCAGCGGAGACCCCCGGCGCACCUUCAUCUAGCGACUGGUGAGGGAGGAGGCGACGGCGUCCUGCCAGCCCGGCGGGGGAGCAGGGCCCGGGGAGGGGACUCGCGGAGGGGUGGCUUCGAGCUCCGCGCCGCGUGGCACGGGCGAGUGGCCCGGGAGCGCAGCCCCGCCGCCCCCUCCAGCUAAUGAAUGGCCUGGUCCCGCGAAGUGCUAC
ensembl:lncRNA